GCCAGUGUGGUGUAGCGGUUUGAGCAUUGGACUAUGACUCUGGAGACCAGGGUUCAAAUUUCUGCUCUGUCA